CGGGGCCGUCGCGAGGUCUGCUCUAAAAGGGCGUCGUGGGGUGUAGGUUGCGGCAGCGCGCUGGCGGUUGGAAGUGGGGCGGAGCGCCGACGGUGAGACAUAGGGCGGCAGCCGCGGCGACAAUAGGUGGCGGCGCGCAUGGAGGAAGGAGGUCGGGGUCACGCGGUGGAGGAUGGAGGCCGUGGCCGCACCGUUGGGGAGGGAGGUCGGGCGUCACGCCAUCGAUGUGAUGGCCGGCCGCAGGAAGUGCGGCCCGAGAGCCGGCGGCGGCAAUGGUAGGCACGACGGCAUUGGGGACGGGCCACGCGUGAACGCGGAGCAGCAGCAAGCUCUGGGUGCGAGCUCGUCCGUUGUACUCCGUUUCGUGGAGGCGUUGGAGCGGAGCGCACCUGGCUGAACAAUGGUGCUCCCCUGCCGUCUCCCUCCAUUGGAGCUGCUGGUACUGAUGAAGGAGCAAGGAUCGAGGACACGUCGAUGCAACUUCCGGAGUAUCUUGUUGAUGAAGUUUUCAUAACGUGGUCUCAAAGAUGUAGAUGAACAAUGAGCUUACCAGAUACACCACCUUUCGAUGAUACAAUUCAGAACUUCCAUAGCAAGAAGUGGUCAACAACCACGACAUGCAGCCUUUUCUAUGCCAAGAUCUUGUUCAAUUGUUAUUCGAGGUUCUUUAUAUCCUCAUCAUAUUUCAUGUAUAUCUGUUAAUUUUUGCUCAAAGGAGACUGGGAGGUGUUUCACUAUUAUGAAAUCUUUUAGCAUCGUGUUUGUUUAUUGAACUAUCUGCAUGCCUGAAUGUUUCGGUACCUAUUUCAGCAUGCUGGUGCAUUUUAAACCUAUUGGUGCUUUCUCACAACCAGAUAUUAUAGAUUUUGUACAACAAUUUAUUCGAUAGGCUUGCUUCUGAGUAUGUUGAUCAUAAACGAUCUGAAACGGGGCACUGAUUUUGUCCUUCUGCUUC